rnacentral:rRNA from 1 species
AGUGAACGCUGGCGGUAGGCCUAACACAUGCAAGUCGAACGGCAGCACAGUAAGAGCUUGCUCUUACGGGUGGCGGGUGGCGGACGGGUGAGGAAUACAUCGGAAUCUACUUUUUCGUGGGGGAUAACGUAGGGAAACUUACGCUAAUACCGCAUACGACCUACGGGUGAAAGCAGGGGAUCUUCGGACCUUGCGCGAUUGAAUGAGCCGAUGUCGGAUUAGCUAGUUGGCGGGGUAAAGGCCCACCAAGGCGACGAUCCGUAGCUGGUCUGAGAGGAUGAUCAGCCACACUGGAACUGAGACACGGUCCAGACUCCUACGGGAGGCAGCAGUGGGGAAUAUUGGACAAUGGGCGCAAGCCUGAUCCAGCCAUACCGCGUGGGUGAAGAAGGCCUUCGGGUUGUAAAGCCCUUUUGUUGGGAAAGAAAAGCAGCAGGUUAAUACCCCGCUGUUCUGACGGUACCCAAAGAAUAAGCACCGGCUAGCUUCGUG